rnacentral:rRNA from 1 species
UACGUAGGCAGCAAGCGUUGUUCGGAGUUACUGGGCGUAAAGGGUGUGUAGGCGGUUGCUUAAGUUUGGGGUGAAAUCUCCCGGCUCAACUGGGAGGGUGCGCCGAAUACUGAGUGACUCGAGUGCGGGAGAGGAAAGUGGAAUUCCUGGUGUAGCGGUGAAAUGCGUAGAUAUCAGGAGGAACACCGGUGGUGUAGACGGCUUUCUGGACCGUAACUGACGCUGAAACACGAAAGCGUGGGUAGCAAACAGG